AAUGAGUUGUUUAGUCGCUUUUCAUUAUAGAUUAUACAGAACUUCUUUUCUACAACAAAAUAGGCUCCAUAAUAUCUAUAGGGGAUUUACCCACUACAAAUAUUAUAGAA
rnacentral:ncRNA from 1 species